rnacentral:rRNA from 1 species
GAUGAACGCUGGCGGCGUGCCUAAUACAUGCAAGUCGAGCGAACAGACGAGGAGCUUGCUCCUCUGACGUUAGCGGCGGACGGGUGAGUAACACGUGGAUAACCUACCUAUAAGACUGGGAAAACCUCGGGAAACCGGAGCUAAUACCGGAUAAUAUAUUGAACCGCAUGGUUCAAUAGUGAAAGACGGUUUUGCUGUCACUUAUAGAUGGAUCCGCGCCGCAUUAGCUAGUUGGUAAGGUAACGGCUUACCAAGGCAACGAUGCGUAGCCGACCUGAGAGGGUGAUCGGCCACACUGGAACUGAGACACGGUCCAGACUCCUACGGGAGGCAGCAGUAGGGAAUCUUCCGCAAUGGGCGAAAGCCUGACGGAGCAACGCCGCGUGAGUGAUGAAGGUCUUCGGAUCGUAAAACUCUGUUAUUAGGGAAGAACAAAUGUGUAAGUAACUAUGCACGUCUUGACGGUACCUAAUCAGAAAGCCACGGCUAACUACGUG